GAAUCUCUUCCUUUUUGUAAAUUUGACUUCUUCUGUACAAAGUUUCAUUCUGUAACCUUAUGUUUCUGCACCAUUCAACUCUUUGUAACUGACAAUUGUAUGAACAUCUCUGGUGAUAUACCUUGGUUUCAACUGCUCAAUUUCUCUUUGUAUUUUCUUUGGACUUCACUUAUCUUUAUGUGCGCGACUAACUGUUAACCAACUCAGGCUUAGCGCGAUCUGCUUCUCUUACUCUUUGCGCGCGACUAAGUGUUGACCAACUCAGGCUUAGCGCGAUCUGCUUCUCUUACUCUUUGCGUGCGACUAAGCGUUGACCAACUCAGGCUUAGCGCGAUCUGCUUGAUCACGACUGGCUAUUCCCUCAGCUUGGUGUUUAACAGUCCUCGUGCGCUGCUUUGUACUACUAGCCAAUUACCGACAACUCAUCAGUGAUCGCUCUUUAGUCCUUACUUAGCUUUCUCUGUCGCUCUAGCGCUAAGUGCAUAAAGGACCUUGACAUCGACCGCUCAAAGUGAGGCCUCGUCUUGGGAAAAGGAAGUGUUUCUCGCUAACCCCUCUCCCUUUCCCCGAGGUCAUCACCCUUUGGCGGGUUGAGUCGCUCACUCCCUGUCUCACUCCUGGGGUGAGAAAGGUUUUCUGACUGAGAGUCUUACUGGGCCAAUAUUGGUGCGUGCCAAGU
rnacentral:lncRNA from 1 species